rnacentral:rRNA from 2 species
AAAUUGAAGAGUUUGAUCAUGGCUCAGAUUGAACGCUGGCGGCAGGCCUAACACAUGCAAGUCGAACGGUAGCACAGAGAGCUUGCUCUCGGGUGACGAGUGGCGGACGGGUGAGUAAUGUCUGGGAAACUGCCUGAUGGAGGGGGAUAACUACUGGAAACGGUGGCUAAUACCGCAUAACGUCGCAAGACCAAAGAGGGGGACCUUCGGGCCUCUUGCCAUCAGAUGUGCCCAGAUGGGAUUAGCUUGUUGGUGAGGUAACGGCUCACCAAGGCGACGAUCCCUAGCUGGUCUGAGAGGAUGACCAGCCACACUGGAACUGAGACACGGUCCAGACUCCUACGGGAGGCAGCAGUGGGGAAUAUUGCACAAUGGGCGCAAGCCUGAUGCAGCCAUGCCGCGUGUAUGAAGAAGGCCUUCGGGUUGUAAAGUACUUUCAGCGGGGAGGAAGGUG